rnacentral:rRNA from 1 species
GACGAACGCUGGCGGCGUGCCUAAUACAUGCAAGUAGAACGCAGUUGCGAACGGGUGAGUAACGCGUAGGUAACUGCAUGGUAGCGGGGGCUAACUAUUGGAAACGAUAGCUCAUACCGCAUACUACCAGAUGGACCUGCGUUGUAUUAGCUUGUUGGUGAGGUAACGGCUCACCAAGGCAACGAGACAUAGCCACCCCUGAGGGGUGAUCGGCCAAACUGGGGCUGGGGCACGGGCCCGACUCCUUCGGGAGGCAACAGGAGGGAAUUAUCGGCAAUUGGGGGAACCCUGACCGAGCAACGCCGCGUGAGUGAAGAAGGUUUUCGGAUCGUAAAGCUUUGUUGUUAAGGGAGCGGUACUUAACCAGAAAGGGACGGCUAACUACGUGCCAGCAGCCGCGGUAAUUC